UACGUGAAACCGUUGAAAGGGAAGCGAAUGGAGUUAGCAAUUCGCCCUGCCAGACUCAGUUGCUCGUGCUUCGCGACGUACGCGCUCUCGAUCCGCAUGGACGAGACGUGUGCGGGUGCGAUGUGCGGUCGGCGCACUUCUGGCGAGCGAGCGUCAGCGUCGGUUGUCGAUGGGCGACAAGGACACAAGGAAGGUGGGCCUGCCUUUAUUGGCCGGUUGUUAAGCCUUGUGCUCGAAUAGCUCGACGGCGACCGUGGCUCCUGCGACGUGUGCCUGGCUGGUGACUCGAACGAUCGGUCCGGCAUGUCGACUGUGGCGGACGGCACGCCUGUGCGCUCGAACUGCUGCCGGUCGAUCGSGACGAUGUUCGCACACUACACGUCGAAGAUGCUGACGGCCAUACGGCUCCAUCCGACCCGUCUUGAAACACGGACCAAGGAGUCUAA
rnacentral:rRNA from 1 species